GCUUCGCAGGAGAGAGAGUCAUCCAUCAGACUCCGCCGAAGGUGCAAACUCCCAUAAACGCUCAGGCUCACGGACUGCGAU
rnacentral:ncRNA from 1 species